rnacentral:misc_RNA from 1 species
AACCUUAUGGACCUGCGGGCGUAUACCUGCGGAAGGAUCAUUACCGAGUUUACAACUCCCAAACCCCUGUGAACAUACCACUUGUUGCCUCGGCGGAUCAGCCCGCUCCCGGUAAAACGGGACGGCCCGCCAGAGGACCCCUAAACUCUGUUUCUAUAUGUAACUUCUGAGUAAAACCAUAAAUAAAUCAAAACUUUUAGCAACGGAUCU